GCUCACUUCGGCGUUGCAUGUACCAAAAUUAGAGCGAUACAAAGAAGUUUAGCAUGACCUCUGUUCAAGGUUAAAAAAUAAAAAACAGAUGGUUACGUGCUGGCU